rnacentral:rRNA from 1 species
AAAGAUCUAAGAAAAUUAUAAAAUUUUUGUUUCAAAAAAAUUUUUUAAAUUUUCUUAGUUGUGAUAUUCUAAUCGCUUUUAUUAAUAUCUAGUUGCUUUUUAAAUAAAUUUAGUUUAAAAUGAUAAGGAAAAGGUUUUUUAAAAAUUUAUUCUAAAAUCGUUUUUAAGUUUUUGGGGAUGAGCUCAAAAAUUAUUAUAUAAGAAUUGAUAAAUUUUGUAUUUUUAGUAGGCUUAGAAUUAGCUAUUUGAUAUUGUUAUAAAUUUUAAUUUUAAGUUUUUGAUUUUUAUAUCUUUUUUUUGCAUAAAGCUGACUAACAAAUUUAUUUUAUUUUGUAAAUAUGAUAACAUUAGUAGAUUUUAAAAUAUAGAUUUAUUUUUAAAUUUUUCUGUAUUUUCUUUCAUCAAAAUUUUAACAAAAGAACUCGGCAAAUAUAAUUUCCGAAUGUUUAACAAAAACAUUUCCUCCUAGAUUAGGAGGUAAGGCCUGCUCACUGAUCUUUUAAAGAGCCGCAGUAUCCUAACUGUGCUAAGGUAGCAUAAUCAUUAGUCUUUUAAUUGGAGACUGGUAUGAAUGGCUCAACGAGAAAUUGACUUUUUUUGUUAUAUAAAUCGAAUUUAAUUUUUUAGUGAAAAAGCUAAAAUUUUUCAGAAAGACGAGAAGACCCUAUAGAGUUUUAUAUUUUGUAAUAUUUUUUCUUAUUAGUUUUUUUUGGACUAAAUAUAAAAAAAUAUUUUGUUGGGGCGACAUUUAGAUAAAAAAAACUCUUUAUUUUUUAAAUUUCUAUAGAAAUAUAAUUGAUCCUUAAGUAAAGAUCAAAAGAAAAAAUUACCUUAGGGAUAACAGCGUAAUCUUUUUUGAGAGUUCUAAUCGACAAAAAGGUUUGCGACCU